GGGGCCUCGCCCUCCUCAUCCUCGGGGCCUCCGCGCGUGGUCUCAGGGCCUUCAUCCCCGUCCUCCUCCUCCUCAGGGCCUCCAUCCUCAUCCUCUUCCUCCCCAUCCUCAUCCUCAGCGCCCCCACCUUCCUCCUCCUCAUCCUCAGUGCCUUCAUCCUCAGCUCCCUCCUCUUCCUCCUCCUCCUCCUCCUCAGUGCCUUCAUCCUUGUCCUCAGCGCCCCCAUCAUCCUCCUCCUCAUCUUCCUCCUCCUCACCUUCCUCAGUGCCCCCAUCUUCCUCAUCCUCAUCGUCUUCAUCCUCGUCCUCAGUGCCUCCAUCCUCAUCUUCCUCCUCCUCAUCUUCCUCCUCUUUCUCCUCAGUGCCUUCAUCCUUGUCCUCAGCGCCCCCAUCAUCAUCAUCCUCAGCAUCUCCAUCCUCAUCUUCAGUGCCUCCAUCCUCAUCUUCCUCCUCCUCCUCUUCCUCAGUGCCCCCAUCUUCCUCAUCCUCAGCGCCUCCAUCCUCAUCCUCCUCAUCCUCAUCUUCCUCCUCCUCAG
rnacentral:lncRNA from 1 species